rfam:Triticum aestivum genome assembly, contig: Triticum_aestivum_CS42_TGACv1_scaffold_361066_4DS
CAAGUACUCCCUCCGUCCGAAAAUACUUGUCGGAGAAAUGAAUGUAUCUAGACCUAUUUUAGUUUUAGAUAUAUCCAUUUUUAUUCAUUUCUUGGACAAGUAUUUCCGGACGGAGGGAGUAUCAG